AUGUACUCUUUAUGAGGCUUUGCGCUGCCCUUGUGGCAGCUAGCCGAAGGUUUCGCAAGAAGCCGAUGUCAAUUUGAAUCCUUUUUAAAAUACGACUGAUCAAAACUGCAGAUAGAAAUAUCUGCAUGCAAUUGAAAUACAACUUUCAACAGUGGAUGUCUAGGCUCGCACACCGAUGAAGAACGCUGCGAACUGCGAUACGUAAUGCGAAUUGCAGAAUUCAGUGAGUCAUCAAAAUUUUGAACGCAUAUUGCACUUCCGGGUUAGUCCUGGGAGUAUGUUUGUAUCAGUGUCCGUGAACACAAACUUGUUUCAUUUCUUGAUUGGGAUGGAGCAGACUGUGAAGGUCUUGUAAUUACAAGUCCUUUUAAACGACGGUACCUAUGCGUCCUAGUGAGAUGUAUUAUUUAAAGGUAUGCCUGCGCUCCUUUCGAAAGUCUUGUGUGGCGGCACACAGCACUCAAAGAGAGAGCAAAUCGCGGUAGUUUUGCUUGUACUUCGGUACGAGUGGACACAUAUUGCUUUUUGUGAUUUCUGCGAGUCUGUUGUCAAAGUACAAGGCACGUAAGGAGAGUUGGUAUGCUGGUGCAUUUCUUGGCGUAUGGAGGCAAAUUGG
rnacentral:misc_RNA from 1 species